rnacentral:rRNA from 1 species
GACGAACGCUGGCGGCGUGCUUAACACAUGCAAGUCGAACGGAAAGGCUCUGCUUUUGUGGCGUGCUCGAGUGGCGAACGGGUGAGUAACACGUGAGUAACCUGCCCUUGACUUUGGGAUAACUUCAGGAAAAUGGGGCUAAUACAGGAUAGGAGCUCCUGCUGCACGGUGGGGGUUGGAAAGUUUCGGCGGUUGGGGCUGGAAUCGCGGCUUAUCAGCUUGUUGGUGGGGUAGUGGCUUACCAAGGCUUUGACGGGUAGCCGGCCUGAGAGGGUGACCGGCCACAUUGGGACUGAGGUACGGCCCAGACUGCUACGGGAGGCAGCAGUGGGGAAUAUUGCACAAUGGGCGGAAGCCUGAUGCAGCAACGCCGCGUGCGGGAUGACGGCCUUCGGGUUGUAAACCGCUUUCGCCUGUGACGAAGCGUGAGUGACGGUAAUGGGUAAAGAAGCACCGGCUAACUACGUG